rnacentral:rRNA from 1 species
UACGUAGGCAGCAAGCGUUGUUCGGAGUUACUGGGCGUAAAGGGUGUGUAGGCGGUUCUCUAAGUUUGGUGUGAAAUCUCCCGGCUUAACUGGGAGGGUGCGCCGAAGACUGGAGAGCUAGAGUGCGGGAGGGGAGAGUGGAAUUCCUGGUGUAGCGGUGAAAUGCGUAGAUAUCAGGAGGAACACCGGUGGUGUAGACGGCUCUCUGGACCGUGACUGACGCUGAGACACGAAAGCGUGGGUAGCAAACAGG